UGCUUUACACAUGCAAGUCGAACGGGGGUGGGGGCAACUCCACUUCAGUGGCGAACGGGUGAGUAAUGCAUCGGAACGUGUCCCGUGGUGGGGGAUAACGCCGCGAAAGCGGCGCUAAUACCGCAUAUGCUCUGCGGAGGAAAGUGGGGGACCUGCAAGGGCCUCACGCCAUGGGAGCGGCCGAUGUCCGAUUAGCUUGUUGGUGGGGUAAUGGCUUACCAAGGCAACGAUCGGUAGCUGGUCUGAGAGGAUGAUCAGCCACACUGGGACUGAGACACGGCCCAGACUCCUACGGGAGGCAGCAGUGGGGAAUUUUGGACAAUGGGGGCAACCCUGAUCCAGCCAUGCCGCGUGCGGGAAGAAGGCCUUCGGGUUGUAAACCGCUUUUAGUCGGGAAGAAAAGGCAGAGGCUAAUACCUUCUGUUUUUGACGGUACCGGCGGAAUAAGCACCGGCUAACUACGUGCCAGCAGCCGCGGUAAUACGUAGGGUGCGAGCGUUAAUCGGAAUUACUGGGCGUAAAGCGUGCGCAGGCGGUUCGUUGUGUCGGUGGUGAAAGCCCCGGGCUUAACCUGGGAAUGGCCAUGGAAACUGGCGAACUGGAGUGUGGCAGAGGGGGGUGGAAUUCCGCGUGUAGCAGUGAAAUGCGUAGAGAUGCGGAGGAACACCGAUGGCGAAGGCAGCCCCCUGGGCUGACACUGACGCUCAGGCACGAAAGCGUGGGGAGCAGACAGGAUUAGAUACCCUGGUAGUCCACGCCCUAAACGAUGUCAACUGGGUGUUGGGGAAGCGAUUUCCCAGUGCCGUAGCUAACGCGUGAAGUUGACCGCCUGGGGAGUACGGCCGCAAGGUUAAAACUCAAAGGAAUUGACGGGGACCCGCACAAGCGGUGGAUGAUGUGGAUUAAUUCGAUGCAACGCGAACAACCUUACCUACCCUUG
rnacentral:rRNA from 1 species